GGGGAAUUUUCCGCAAUGGGCGAAAGCCUGACGGAGCAAUACCGCGUGAGGGAGGAAGGCUCUUGGGUUGUAAACCUCUUUUCUCAGGGAAUAAGAACUGAAGGUACCUGAGGAAUCAGCAUCGGCUAACUCCGUGCCAGCAGCCGCGGUAAUACGGAGGAUGCAAGCGUUAUCCGGAAUGAUUGGGCGUAAAGCGUCCGCAGGUGGUUUAUCAAGUCUGCUGUCAAAGAGUUUGGCUCAACCAAAUAAAGGCAGUGGAAACUGACAGACUGGAGUGCGGUAAGGGCAGAGGGAAUUCCUGGUGUAGCGGUGAAAUGCGUAGAGAUCAGGAAGAACACCGGUGGCGAAAGCGCUCUGCUGGGCCGUAACUGACACUGAGGGACGAAAGCUAGGGGAGCGAAUGGGAUUAGAUACCCCAGUAGUC
rnacentral:rRNA from 1 species